UAGGGGGAUCUGUUUUUGCCGCAUCUGGUGAUUCUUGUGCAUAUUGUUGGGAUGUGGAAACUGGUAAAGUGAAAAUGGUAUUCAAGGGGCACAUGGACUAUUUGUAUUGUAUAGUUGCUCGCAACUCAUCAAAUCAGAUCAUAACAGGUUCGGAGGAUGGGACAACACUAAUUUGGGUAU